UUGUGUUUUCAUUUAACUGCUAUAAAAGGAAAGCUUUCAGUGUGUGCUCGCCAUUUUCUUCCUUGAUUUUGCUCAAGUUAUUAGAAUGUUUUUUGUAUGGAUAAACUUAUUCAGGUCUUAUGAUACUGCGUAGUAUGCUUUGUCAAUUUUUUGGAAUUAUGAUAUCUACGAGUUAAUUCAUCCUAUUAAAUAAAAGGAUGCCGCAUCUUGUUUGACCUUCGACUGGCACAAGUUUGAAUACUGGCAUAGAAUAUAAACAAGAUGACUGUCCACUUCAUCUGUCAUCUAAUUUAUCACCUGAAUAAAGUUUAAAUGGAAAGAUAUCAAAAUGCCUGGAUUUCAUCAACCUGGACCAAAAAUGAGUUUGUUCCAAGGUACCGAAGAAAUUAGGAUUUUAAUGAUUAUAUGCCGUUUUUGUGCUGGUUAAACUAACAGCUGGUUCAACAUAGUUGUAUAGCAAGACGCCUAACGCCGGUCUGAUAUGGAUUCAAAUGAGCUUACUACUGUGUUAUAUGAAAUGUUCUGCCAGAGGGGACUGUAUGAAUGAAAGCUGACAGUUUUUUUUCCUGGACUUCAGGUUGCAAGUUAUGCUUCCUGGAUAAUUCACAUCAUUCGACUGCAGUUUCUUCGACUAAAGGAAUGAUCGCAUGCAUUUACCAAGUGGAAAUGAAUUGAUCGUGGUGAUAUUUUUUGAUUUAAACUCUUUAAAUACAGUGCUUCGAAAAUCGUUGGUAAAUGAAAGAUUUAAUAUAUGCAAUAAAAUCCUAUGUAAAUAUAAAAAUGGGUAGAAAGGUCAUGCGAACGCUUCAUCUUUCCAUAAAUCUUUAUUUUAGAAAUGGCAAUCUUAGAAAGUACUCUAUCUUUAAACAAUGUUUUAUAAGAUACAUCGCUCUCCUAGAUUUCAGAAAUAUAAAAUUUCACAUUAUCAAAAUUUAAGUAAAAUCAUGCAUUUAUCCUUCUAUAAAUUCUAAGCAAUUGUGAUAGAUUUAAAAACUGAAAUUGGUUAUUGGUUCGAGCCCUCUAAAAGCCGUCUAUUUUUCCAUUUCUGGGGAAUGCACCCGAAUGCAGGCAGACACGAUGGAGUGUAAUAUUGCAGAGAAUUAUAAGUAUAAUUAUAUCCAUACAACUGACUUACGGAAACUCGCAGCAUUCCAACAGAAACAAUAGGGAAUGUAAUUUGUGAUAGAGAAAUGAUUUAAUGUUGCAGUUUUAAUGUCAAAACAUCUUUGGGCAUAAAGGAUAUUGAUUGUAAUUCGAAACAGAACACUCGCUGAAACUUACUUUUUGAUGCACGAAAAUUUCUAUCAACAAAAGAAAUCAUAAAAGUGAAUGAAUCAUGAAAAAACGAAUGAAUCGUAUUUAGACAUCUUUAACCGUGAGAUACAAUAGCAAAUGAGGUUUCUUUAUGGAGAAAUGGAUCCAAAUGACUCCUGGUUUUGCUUUUCGCUUUUCCUAGAUUAUCUUAAAUUCUCAAUGUAUUUGAUACGGCGAAUGGUUUAAAUGGCUGUUCAGCCUCAAGAAUUAAGAUGCUGGAUUUUUGAAAAAUCCCAUGCUCAUUUUGAGAGCAUGAAAACAUAUUUGAAGAAUUUUUCUCUAAACUUAUGUAGGUUGUCUGUUCGUCCCGAUAAAUCACAUUAAAUCAAGUUCAUAAUUUGAACGAAUUGCUUAUUAGAUGCAUUCACACGAGUACAGAAUCUGUUCUUUUCAAUUUAAGAACGGAAAUGAUAGCAUUAAGAAGGCUGCUCAUCAAUAAAUUGUGUCGGGAAGAAUACGAAGAAUUUUUUGCAUAACUGCGGAAGUUUAAAAAGUUUGAUUACAUUCAAUCUAGUAACUACUGUCAGUUUCACUACAGAGUCGCCAUCCUGUUCUGAUUCCAUUUUUUUCUAUGGAAAAUAAAGAAGUACGUUUAAUGGUUUUCUACCAACUGCACCUCUCGCUUAAAUCUCAAAUUUGAAUCGGAGCCGAAUUCUUUUUUCAAUUCUUUUAUUAAAAAUCGUUCAACCUUUCAAAACCCAUUCCUGCACCUUAUUUUAAGUGGUUUCUAUGAAUAAACUUGAAAUUGUCUUUAAUUUUUCAUAAGAUUUUUUGCACUCAAUCGCAUAUCAAAAUCAAAUUAGGCACGAAAAUACUUCCUUUAAACAAAUAUGCAAUUCAAAACUUACCCCCCAAAAAAUUUUACCAUUGUUUUCGUAGUUAAUGGCAAGCACCACUGGAUAUGCAGAUCUUCAAAUUACGUUAUUUAAAUGUUUCAUUUUUGCUUCUGGUGGCAAAGUUUGAAGUCAGAAUGGUUCAACUCAGCACCAGUCGAACUCGAGUAUUGUCCACAAAUGUUUCUUUGAAAGAUGUCCAAUGCUCCUUUAUUUCACUGACACAUAUUUUGUCUGAAAGCUUAGUUUCUAAUCGAUUGAUAUUUUUCGAACAUCGCCAAACGUCAGCGAUUUGGCGGGAAAACAUUCUCCUCUGAUCAAGCUGUUUUUUCCUUGCAUGAUUCGAUUCUAAAAUUCUUUAAACAUCAUGAAUUUUGUAUUUCAUUUUUUAUAAAGUUUUAUUUUUGGCUUUCUCGCCUUGUAUCUUAACGAUUACGACCAGUUUCAGCCUUUAACUAUGAAAAUUAAAAUUCAUUCACUCAUGAGUAAACAGUUCAUAUACAUUCACAUUAGUUUCAGGAAUGCAAAGAAUUCAGUUUUUCCCUCACUCUAAUAUUGAAAUUUAAAGAUGGGCUUCUUUAUUUAAAGAGAUUUAGGGAAAACCUUUACGUAGAAAGAUAUCUCGUGAUGUGCGCGCACACUCUCAAGAUAAAGUGUUUAGAAAAAGGGAAUUUUUUAUUAUAGAAAUCGGGAUAAAAGGUAGAAAUUAAGAAUAGGCCCUUCCCCCUUCAUAGAAAAAGAUAGGAUGGGUACCAGCCGGCUGGUGAGAGGGAGGGAAUUUUUAAUCCUAAAUAUAAUCCCAUUCACCCAUAUCAUAAAGAAGCUUAAUUUAUAAUUUCAAUUUUGGUAGUAUGGGAAAAAUCUGAAGUUCUCAAUGGAAUAGUAUCGAAUACAGUUUAAACAUUAAAAUCUGAAAGUAAAUUCGAAAUUCAAUGCAUUUUACAUGCAGUUGCAUCUUCAAUCAUUUGAUGCUAAGAUAAGUACGCACAUCUUAAAUCAAUUUCACACACAUUAGAAAGCAUGAGCUGACAGUUUUUAAGCUCUUGAAUGUGAAGCAAUACAGAUCAUAUCCCAUAAAUUAACUAUCUUUCAAAAUUUCAGAGAACAUUAAAGACAGAAUAGCCAGUUAACAUGGCAUAAUAAAUGGCUUUGACAUAAUGAAUUCAAUCAAACCCGAGUGCCGUUUUGUUUCUCAAGUAAAUAAUACCUUCUGGAUAUUUUGAGAUACAAACAUGAUUUUUUAAAUAUUUAUCUGCAAAUCGAACUUUUGACUUGGCGCAGUUUAGUCAAGUAUGGCUCUUGCGCCUUAAAACGCAACUCAACCAACCAACCAACUAACUUUUAAUUUUAUCACCAAUGAAUAUUGAGAAAUACUUUUUACCUAACUAUAGUUGCAUUUAAGCAUUGUAAUAUGAAAAUGCUAUUCGACUAUUCAAAUCUGUGGUUUUUUAAACUGCUGAAAGGCAUUAUCAUGGGCAUGCAUAUAACUCUUUUCUUGCUGUAAAUUCAGGCGAAUUCAUUUUACUAGGACAUUUAAUGCUGUCUUCUCAGUUGUAACAGUAGUGGCGAUACUGCUUGAUUGUUCAACAUGUUAAGACUGUGUAUGGCUUUCGGUUGAAGUACUUCCAUCACUUGGUUUCACUUUUCUUAGUAAGGCAUUUUUUGCCUUCGUGCACUUGGAGGAUUUUGAUAUUUCUUAUUUAGGUUUUUUACUUAAUGGGCUCUUAAAAUUUGUAUAGAUAAUACUGUUGUCUUCUAUUUCUUGCAGCUUUUACUUCGUUAAAGUCAUUAGAGCAUCUGGCUCUAAUGCAUUCUUUACACUAGGAACAGCUUCUCAUUCAAAGAUUUUGCACAAAAUAGAAAUCAAAUAAUUAAACAUCAACUUAUAAUAAACAUUUCUUCGCUCAUUUGCUUCCAACCUUGACUGAGUUCUUGGUACGCAAUCUUUUAUUUAUCCAAAGCUUGGUCUGCGAUUCUUCGCUCAGUGUAAAAUAAUGAAAGUUUUCUUAUUUCAUGGAAUAUUUGUUGUUAAUGAGACUAGAGUAUAGUUAUUUAUAAGUGCUCUAAUGAAUUAAAUUAUUCAGUAGCAAUAAUUAAAAUCAACAGCUACAGCGGAACUCGAAUUCUCAAUACUUGUAAUACUCUUUUCUUUAAGGAUUUUAACUCAUGAAACUAAAAAUAUCAAUUUAGUUGUAUACAAAAAGCAUACACAAACUAAAAUACGAAUGCUUCAAAGUUCCUAAACAUUCUUGACGGGAACAUGGUAUUGGAUAAAAAAUUUACAUUACCGAUUUCCGCAACAAGGAGAAAUUACGUUCAGUUAAUAGAAACGUUAGUCUGAUUUCGGUUGUCGACUUUGUAAUAGUUGAUGCA